AUCAUGGAUCCAGAAUCUGCAGAUACAGAGGCCAACUGUCCUUUUCAUUUCCCUAUGUUCUUCAGCUUACCUUCACAUGGUAGAUGCCCAGGAAAGACCCUGAAACUUAUGAAAGGAGUUGGCAGAUUCUAAAAUCCACAUGGAAAAACAAAGGAUCCAGAAGAACAAACAAAAAACACUGAUAAAGAAGAACAAAACUGGAAGUCUUAUAC
rnacentral:lncRNA from 10 species